GGGGCAGCUACCUCAGUCCCCCCUCAGGGGACACUAGCAGUUGGGCCAGUGGAGGAAUUGGUCUGGAAAGGUGGCCUCGGAGAGAACAUGUGCUGACUGUCAGUAAGAGGAGGAACACUUCAGUGGAUGAAAACUAUGAGUGGGACUCUGAGCUUCCAGGGGACUUGGAACUGGUCGAAUCACUGCAGCUGGGGCAGAGAGGUGGUGGCCCCCGGGGCCAGCCUGAACUGAAACUAGACUCCAAGGGACCAGAGGAGUGCACAUGGGGCGCUGGCCACCCUCCUGGGCCAGAGGAACGCUGUGCUGCCCUUCGUGAGGAAUUCUUGGCCUUCCAACGUCGCCGUGAUGCUACCCGGGAACGACUGCCUGCUUACCGAGACCGCAUCAGUCACCCUGAGCAAGCCACAUUGCUAUGAAUGCUCAGUGGUGAGGGGACAAGGACUUAUGGGCAGGGCUGAGCAGGGCCACCUGCAGGGGUACUGGGGGCAUUGAUAAUACCCCCCCAGCUGGUUCCUAGGCACAGACACUGG